GGCGGGAUGCGGCAGUGCCGGGCCGCGGGGCUGGCGGGGCUUGCCGCGGUGCUCGUGGUGACUGUGAGCAGAGCCCAGGUGCAGCAGGAGCCGUCGGCAGAGACCAGCGAGGGCACCGGCAUCAACAUCACCUGCUCACAUCCCAACAUACAGUCCAGCGAGGUCAUCUGCUGGUACCGACAGCUCCCGGGCGGUGGCCCUGGAUUUCUCGUCAGCGCCGUUAAAGGCUUCAAGGAGGUGCCCGACCCGGCGGGGCGGCUGUGGGUGUCGGCAGACCGCCGCUCCAGCGCCCUGUGGCUCGAUCGGCCCCGGCUCCGGGACGCGGCGGUGUAUUACUGCGCGCUGGUAGCACGGGGAGGGGAGCCGGGGCUGCGGCCGGGCACGAACCGCAGCAGGCGGGGCGGGGCGGGGCAGUGGCACAGUCCUGUCUGGGCCCGCAGGGGGCGCUGCGUCCAGGGCCGCCAAACUCCAUCCUGACCAGGGCGCACCUCCCUGAGUUCUCGAGAGAAAUGAGCGCGGCACCCGCAGCAGCGGGUUGACUGAGGCCAAUGUGAGUCAGGCAGUUCUGUUUGAAGUGGCUAGGACGGCACAACUGACAACAGAAGCUGUGUUUGACACAAGAGUGACAUCCACACAGUCUUAUUCUACAUUCUAUCCUCACGUGCUUCCCCAGUGUCACACUGAUGAGAGCAGAAGGAUCUCUGUUUAUGGCCUUCCACACACUCCUAGUUGCUCCUGCUGUGAGCACAGCAGAGGUUGUGUUCUCUUUUUGCUGAACGUGUGGGGGUCAUUGUAGGAAGAAACACUGCCAGGCAAAGGCCAAUAACUACAUCUAAUGCCCAGUAGAGGAGCUUCUUCCGUGUGUCACAGUCUACCAUUCUUCUGCGAACUGAGACCGGUUUUCUUAAACACUCAUCUUACAUACACCUAGAAUGAAGCCAUUCACCCUGGCCAGCUCUGGAGGCCAUACAUGGUGGGAAUCAUAGAAUCAUAGAAUUACUCAGGUUGGAAAAGACUUUCAAGAUCAUCAAGUCCAACUGCAACCUAACCAUACUACUCUAACUCUAACAACCCACUGCUAAAUCAUGUCCCUGAGCACCACAUCUAGGUGGUCUUUAAACACAUUCAGAGGUGGUGACUCAACCACCUCCCCGGGGAGCCUAUUCCAGUGCUUAACAACCGUUUCUGUAAAGAAGUUCUUCCUGAUAUCCAACGUAAACGUCCCCUGGCCCAACUUGAGACCAUUUCCCCUUGUCCUGUCACCUGUCACCAGUGAGAAGAGACCAACCUGCAGUGGACCAGAGGCUCCACAGUGCAGGAUUUGCUUGAUGCCCUGGUGGAGUUCAUGCAAGGCAUGUGCCUGUCUUUCCAGCAGAGGAUGGUCCGGUCUGGGGAUCCUCACAGUUCAGAGGAUAAUAGGGGGAAAAAAAAAAGAGGUAGGUGGAGGAAUAGAAGGAGAGGCAUGAACUAGGCUUUCAGAAAGCCCAGGCUUCCCUUUCCAGCCAGCAUUUCCUAGAAUAGCUGUAGGUGAUCAAGUAUUCUGAAAGCAGUGGCUUGAAGAUUCCUUCUUGAUCCAGCACCAUCUUCAUAGCUUCUGGAAUUAUUUCUCCAGGACCACAGCCAGCACCUUUAGCAGGGUGUGCACCUUCUGCCACAGUAGCAGUUGGAAAUUCAGGAGAGGUCAAAGCCCCCAGAGGUGAUGGGCACGCCCUCAGAGCUGAGGAGGCUGCAGUGGAGGUGGAGGAUCUCACAACAGUGUUCUGUGAGAAGGAACUGAGGAUGGGUCCGGGCAGGGACACCUGUAUGAUGACGAUGGUGGAGUUCUGGCACUGCCUGACACAGGGCUCAUUGCAGCUGCCGGCCAGAGGGGUCGGGCUGUUUGGGCAGCGUGGCAGGCAAUUAGGUCAAUCCAGAUUGUUUGUAGGUAUAUCUAAAAGAGAUCUUUGUGGAAAAAAAAUACUAUAAAGAGAAGUGAGAGUGUGACUGAGUAGAAGAUAGAAAUUGUAGACAUGGGGCAUUUUGUCAGAGAAGCCAAGGUAGCCUAUUCCUGUCUGUCUUUGAAUAGCAAACCAAAGAUGUUCAGCUACUCUUAGAACAAUGGCUCAGUGAUUGUUCUUCUCUCCAGUGUCAUGUUGUGAGAUACUGAUGGUCUUUGUCUGGGACAAUGUCCACCAUCUCUACUGAGGGGACACAUUCUUUCACAGCAGACCCGGAAGGUGAUUGGCACUCCCUGGCAGCUGAGGAUGCUGCUAGCAGCAGCAGAGGUGGAGGAUCCCAGAACAGCACUCUGGGGGAAGAAACUGAGAACUGGUUCAAGCAGGAUAAACACCACAGAUGAGAGCUCGAUGCCAGUGGUGGAGUUCUGGUACUGCCUGACACUGGGCUCAUUUGAGCUGCUGGUCAAAGUUGUUGGGCCAUAGAGCUGACAUCGCAGGCAGUGAUCUCAGCAGGACAUUCCUUGAUGUCAGAGAUGCACUUGGAAGAGCAGGUCUGGAGGAAGCGGGAGAUGGAGAUGAAUGAGGAGCAAUCUGUCACCACACCGUGAGGGAACCAAGGCACAUGUAGUGCCAGCAAUUGGAAUCUCCACAGGAAUGAUCAAGGGCUUCUUGACCUUGCCAGACCAGCACCCAGAAAGUGCCACUAGGUCCUGUCUAGCUACCACUAAGACCCUAUCUUGGCACAGGCCCAGCCUCUCUCCAUGCCAGAUCUCCCAAUUUUCUUCUUUCAUGACAAGCAGUCCCAAGAUUUGGCAUGGAACAGAGCUGAUAGCAGUUGAGAGGCCCAUUGAACUGAGAUGUCCAUUGAGAUGAGAUCUCUUUAUGGAGAAUGAGUGCUACAGGAUGGAGUCUGACGCUCACCAUAUUACCAACAAGAAGGAGGUAAGAAUAGCGUGUGAGAGAGAAAGGAGCUGGCUACCUUUUACAAUGGACAUCAUCUGCCUCAUAUAAAGAGGCAUCCUUUGUAGCUGUGCUUGUUUUCUGGCAAGCUCUUCUUGACUACAUAACAUUGUAGCUAAUGAUAGGGGCUGUUGUCAUAGUUUCAAGUGCGACGGGAAAAGGGAGUCCCUUUCUCCCCCCUUUCCAGAGAAGAAAAGAAAAAUGACCCAAUUAAGAUAAGGAGAGAGAACAAAUUUGCUACAACAAGAAUAUAAGAUAAUAGUACGAAAGAGAGCUACAAUUAAUAACUCAAAUGGGAGAGAGAGGAAGGCUAUGACCAUGCUGCCAGAACCCAGAAUGCUCUCAACCCUGUCAACAACAGUGGAAGAUCACGUAGGGAACACUGGAGGUUCUUGGGAAUAGUAGUUUUCCUGAUGAGUUAGAACUCAAUUGAAACUGCUAGAGAGCACGGGAGCAGGAAGUACAGCUCUGCAGUAUACUGUGCCUCUGCACCCAAUAGUGUUCUGCAUGAUGUCAUGAUAUGGAAUACUGAUAAAACCAGCAUGAAUGAACCAGCUGUUCAUUGGCUUCCUACAUUGCUGUAUUCCUACUUUAUGCCAUUCCCAUUCCCCAGUAAAAACAUCUUUUGAGUGGCAGGAAGAGAAGCCAAAGCAUUUCCAGGUAACACAUGUAAUUAUGGGCUAUUCUACUAAGACAAAAAAAGAAGAGGAAUGGAAGCAGACUGAGCUUGUAGAGAACCUUCUGGUUAUUUUUUCUCAAGAAGUCAAUUAACCAGCCUUGAAUUUCCACACCUCUCUUACUGAGAUCCCAAAAUAACCAGCAUCCUCUUGGUGUAAACACGCAGUAUCCAGGCUUGUUUCCUGGCACGAGUGAAGAUAUUUUGAGAAAAACACAUGGGCCUGUUUCCUCACAAAAGGAAAGAAGGAAAGAAAGCACAUUGCUGUAGAAACACAGAGGAUUUGGAAAAGAUGGAAGUAAAUUGUUCCCAGAAGUGCACAGUGAUCGGAUGAUAAUCAUACCAUUUAGAGCCACAUAAGUUCAAUUUAGCUAUUAGAAACUCUCUCUUUCUUCUAACCCUGAAAAUUCUUAGGUAGUGUAGUAGGAGGUCCAGGAAUUGUGUCCAGCGUUGGAAAUGUCCAAGAUAUUCUGGGCAUAUCCUUGUCAAUCCUCAUCUAAUGAAACCAUUUCCAGGAUGAGAAUCUGAAUGAAUAACCUCUACUAGUCCUGUCCAACCUGAAUUACUCUUAGAUUCAGUGGGAAGAAUAAAGAGUAAGAAUAGUUGCAUUUUCUUUGUUUGUUAAAGGCUGGAAGGAAAGAGUGGACAGAGAUUACAACGGGUUUACAAGUGGAAGUGUUUUUUUUUUUUUUUUUUAAAUUUCUUCCCAAUUAUUUUUUAAGAAAGCAGACUUUGAGACGGGAUGAGACAGCUUGGCAGUAUUUUUUUUUUUAACAUAUAGUUCAGAAUAUAUUUUUAUUCUUCUUCUUUUUAGCAUUAUUAUUCUAUUAUAGAGAUUUGAUGAAGUCCUUAUGAGACUCUACAGUCCUUGUUGGAGCCUAGUUCCUCACUUCAGUUGCACAUCAGCCCACUCGAACCAAACACAGACAUACACCUGGGGCUGCUUUACUGCAGGGUUCCUUGCCUCUUUCUGGGAACCUGGGGAAAAGCUAUUGUUGCCAGGUGAUGGAGGAAGGAAAAGGGAAAGGUGAUAUAAAUACGGGGAGAUAUCUGUUCCCAGAAGAAAAGUCGCCAUUCCAAAAUAACUGGAGACCUGAGGAGAGGGUCUAGUGGGACAGAACCUCAGAAACUCUAGUGUCCAUUGGGCAAGUACAAAAGAGUAGAUAUGUAUUGCAACAGAUGGGAGGACUCCACUGGAAGCUCAGAUCAGGAACACAGCCUUCCUAGUAUGGGUACUCCAGAGUCACCACAUCUCCAAGCUGUGAAGAUUUAGGCUGUGGAAGAAACACUUGUAAUGGCUGAAGAAGGGAGGACCCAGCAGGGGCACUUCAGCCAUGCUAAAAACAAGCAUGUUCUCCUCCCCAGUUUAUUCUUUUGCUCUCUUUGCCAAGUCAUUUCCUGCUGCUCUGCAUGUCUGUUCUCUUAGGGCUCUUGGUGGAGAUGUGUGGUUUUCUGAGGCUCUCUGACGCAUGCAGAAGGAUCAGUCUCAGCAUGCACCUCGAGUAUCUCAUGCUCGCUGCCUUCCUGAGACUAUCACUGACUUUAGCUGAUGACAUGUUUCUUCUCCCUAGGAGACCCUUGCCCCCAUCAAAUUCCCUCUUCCAAGAAAUGCUCUUGAAUUAUUGGAAAAAAUGCUGGGAAGCAUUAGAUCAUGCCUUGGUUUUUCCACCAGUUUUCUCAUGACGGUGUAACUGCUGGAAGAGAAAAUAGGAGGUAGAGAAGAUCACUUCAAUCAUCUCAGACCUCCUUCCAGUCCUUUUCCCUUACCAGCCAUUCUUGUUCCUUUGCCUGUCCCUUCUGAUCUGUCUGGGUCCAACGUUUCACAUAUGUAUCAUUGCAAAAGCUUUUUCUAUUCUUACAGUAUAAUUUUUUGGCUUUGCAAGAUAGUCACAGAAGACGAUUUAAAUUGCAGAAACACAGAAGCUUCUCAUCCUACUUUGGUGUUCCAUCAGUCUCUGUUCUGUCUGGCACAUGUAAUAGAGAAUGCACUGAAUACUCAUUUCCUUCUGCAUGUAUCAGCACUAGCAUAGCUUUCUUUUCUCUGCCUUCCUUGAGAUCACCUUCAUCUGAGGGUAAAUGGAAGGAGUCCCCAGCUCUCCCCUGGCAGCACUGCUUCCCCUGAGCACCCAGAGAUCUGCAGGUAGAAUCCUCUUACAGAAGGGACUGAAAUCAGGAGCUGGAAAGGAAAGACAAGGUGAUGAAAGAGAUCAUGCCCUGGAACUCCUCUCCUUGUACAACCCUGGACAAGACCACUUUUACCAUGGGCUGUGAAGAGGACCAUUCUGAGUUGUGUGCUGCGCUGCACAGCAGGAACUGGAAGAAAUCAGUCAGAGACUCACUUUAGCCUGGCAGAACCACGCAGAAUUCUUGCAUGAAGGACAACCUCUGACUUUUGCCCAACUCCCAGCAGUCUGGACCUUGCCUGAGUGGGCAUUUCUAGAGAACAUAAUGGUGCUGGUACACAACUUCAGCAAGAAUUGGAUUCCCCAGGCUCCAUUUGAAAUCUCCAAGUAGAGACAAGAUGGUGGAGGUUUUCUCAUGCAUUAGACAAACCUCUGUGGGAAUAUCCCCCACUCUGCUCAGUUCAGGCUGACCUCAAGUCAUGGUUUUGUGGUUUGUUAUUUGUAUUCCAUAUCAUAGCAUUAUGUAGCAUACUGUGAGUUAAAGAUUUAGUGCUGCCGUUCUGUGAAUUGUCAAUAGUUCCAGGUACCUGGUUCUCAGAAGAGAAGAGUGAAUUACAGCUCCCAGAAGACUUCAUUAUUCUGUUUCCAUUUUCCAUUCAGAGUAAAGAUAAAACUGACUGGUGUUGGGAAACAGCUUGCUU